AAAACAUUUCUUUUUGAUUAUAAUAUUAAGUAGUCUCUGCCCAAUGAUUAUUUUAAUGGCUGCAGUAAUUUAACUGUACAAAGGUAGCAUAAUAAAUUGUUCUUUAAUUAAGAUCUUGAAUGAAAGAGUUGAUGAAUCAAAAACUUUAUUUGAUUUAUAAUUUGAAUUUAAUUUUAAAGUAAAAAUUCUUUAAUAAUUUUAUGGGACGAGAAGACCCUAUAGAAUUUUAUUAUCUUAAUUUAAAAAAUUAAUUAUUAUUAAUUUAUUGAUAAUUUGUUUGGGAGGAAUGGUAAAUUUAAAAACUUUAUUUUUUUUUAACAAAAAUAUUUGGUUUAAUAGAUUUUAGAUUUAAAUAUAAAAUUAAAUUACCUUAGGGAUAACAGCAUAAUAUUUUUGGAAAGAUCUUAUUUAUAAAAAUGUUU
rnacentral:rRNA from 1 species